rnacentral:tRNA from 2 species
GUUUAGAUAGCUCAGUAGGUAGAGCAAAGGACUGAAAAUCCUUGUGUCGGCAGUUCGAACCUGUCUCUAAACA